GAUGAACGCUGGCGGCGUGCUUAACACAUGCAAGUCGAACGGAAAGGCUCCUGCUUGCAGGGGUACUCGAGUGGCGAACGGGUGAGUAACACGUGGGUGAUCUGCCCUGCACUUCGGGAUAAGCCUGGGAAACUGGGUCUAAUACCGGAUAGGACGAUGGUUUGGAUGCCAUUGUGGAAAGUUUUUCGGUGUGGGAUGAGCUCGCGGCCUAUCAGCUUGUUGGUGGGGUAAUGGCCUACCAAGGCGUCGACGGGUAGCCGGCCUGAGAGGGUGUACGGCCACAUUGGGACUGAGAUACGGCCCAGACGCCUACGGGAGGCAGCAGUGGGGAAUAUUGCACAAUGGGCGCAAGCCGGAUGCAGCGACGCCGCGUGGGGGAUGACGGCCUUCGGGUUGUAAACUCCUUUCGCUAGGGACGAAGCGUUUUGUGACGGUACCUGGAGAAGAAGCACCGGCUAACUACGUG
rnacentral:rRNA from 1 species